UCGAGGUGGGUGCUCGCGUUCACGACGCUCUCUCACCAUCGCCGCCGCCGCCGCUGCCGCUGCCUCUCUACCUUAGUGCCCUUUCUUUCAUCACUUCACUCCUUUCACCCCCGACUCAGCCACACGCACACACACCUAACGACCUGAAUAGGCGGCAGGCGCCUUUUUUUGUUGUUGUCUCCUGAACGUGUUGUGCGCCCUGCGCUGACUACGCUGAUGGGAGGGGCGGUUGCCGCAGGCGGCUGCUGCUCCAGCUGACGACCCACUGCCUCCUUGGUGGUGUUGCCGGCUGCUCUCAGACAGUCUGUCUCUUCGUGCUGGAUUGUGGCGCUUGGCGAAGCCUACACCGCAAAACGCGAGUCCUGUCGGAGGCAGCGCGCAUGGACAUUAGCGGGGGAUUUUCCAUCCUCUCUUGUACCAUGAGUAGUGCUGUUUCGGUAUCGCCGCUGCUCACGAGAAACGGGAUGCCGUCCAUUAAGACGUGUGUCUUCCUGUGCUGCUUGCGGCGCAUUGGAUGGGUGGGGUUGUUGCUUGCAUAGUGGCGCAGCUGCUGGGUUCAACUGUGACGCUGGCCAGAAUCAUUGAUUUCAACGCACCUUCACGGUCCCCCCACCGGUGACGGAUGUGCACCCAUGGUAGACGUUUAUGGGGCCAUCACUGUGGCCGAGUAGCAACCAUCUGAUGCUUGCCCAGCCUCUCCCUCUGCUGCUGCCUUCACUAGGCUGACCAGCAGCGAGCUGCUUUACUCCUGGACCUUGGGCAACUGCACCGUACGGGACUCCCGUUGUCGCGGUAAGACCCACCUCCUUUCUACAACUUCUGGGGAGGUACACUUACAUAUGAAGCACGCCACGACGUAUCCAUCGGUGUGGCGCAGCGUGUACACCGUUUCCACCUUCAACACGCCCGCCCCCUCCGUCUGUGGGCAUUUGACUUCAAACGGCGGCGUGUUACUUGAUCCUUGCACGAUGGUGUCGGCUGCGCACUUGCCUGUCUCAUCUUCGCUUGACAGCUUCGACGAUACACAGGGCAUGGCGGAGGCGGUGCUAGGCAUUGCAGAUGCCCAUGGCGGUGAUACUGCAUCCGACACUACCUUGUCCCCUGCAGCGUCGUUUGCCGCUUACCGUAGGUCCGGUGCUGUGGAGGUGGUAUGUGCGGUCACGCGUGGCCGCUUCCCCGCACAGAGACUUGCACCUAUCGGACCUGCACCCACACAUGCGCACCGUGCUGCCCCUUCAAACUCUUCCACUCGUUUUUCAUCACAUGUAUGCUUGACGUUCUUGCACGGCAGCCAGGAGGAAGAGGAGGGAGGGAGGGAGGUAGAGGUAGAAUAACGGACGCAUACGGUAGCGAACGCUUCAUCGCCGUACGUGUCCGCCAUGCGCGACCCAGAGAUGCAGUUUCUUUGUUGUGACGCUCGUAUUGCCUCGGUACGUGAGCAGAGCUAACUGCUGAACACUUUCUUUUGAAGGAGAUGGCAGUACGCACACCUCAACUGGGCACCAUUUGAUGUGCAACCGUCUCUGUGAACAUUUUCAGAGUGCAGAUACGGAUACAGCUGAGGGGAGGACUGACAGGAUCCAAAUGGGUACUGAGGACUCGCGUAGGGACUCGCUGAACUUGUGCACAGAUGAUGAUUGACUGUAACAUCACAGACUUUGAGUCGCGAUGAUAGCAACCAUGUCGCCCCAGUCUGACGUGCGCCGGCGCCGUGCACGCCGUGUGGGUGUGCGCGUGCGCAUCUAGAGAGCUGUGCCUGUGUGAUGUCGCGGGGGCCGUGCGUGCCCGCCGCUGCGCGUUGACAUGAUCGACACCUAGGCUGAUGUAAAGCCGUCGCAGAUGGACGUUGAGUGGCGCACGCCGUGAAACCAACCCCGCCUCGUCUGAUCGCGCGCACUCCUUCCUCCCCACCCCUGCCGCGCGGCAUCUCUGCCCUGUGCUGCGGCCCCGCCACCCACAACGCCUGCUGCCGCGCUGCGCGAGCAAGUGCGUGUGCGCGAGUGAGACGAAGCGUCGGUGUGGGGGCGGUGUGAGCUCUAUUGUUUGGCGCCGAGAACCCUGUCACUGCUGCUGCCCUAUCGCUUUAUUUGCGGUACGUAUAGUUUCUCCUUCCCUUCUGUGCGGCAGCGUGGGGGUGUGGUAUGACGGGAACGAGAGAAAAGGUUGGUUUCAGUGGGACGAGUGGGCGGGGAGGGGGGUAUGGAAGCGAAGAACUCGAGGACGGUCUGCCAUGGAACGCAAGCGAUGCGUGUUGGGGGCGCCAGAAAGAGAAAUGAGAGGCGCUGGCCGGUGGAUGGGCGCUGAGGGAGAGAGAUGUAGGCGCUUAGAGAAAGGGCCAUUGUUGACUGCCGUAGACGUUUGUGACGAGACGCUCAGCUACCCGCUCUCUCUGCCUUUUUCCGCAGACACUCUCAAAGGAAGAUACCUUAGCCGACCCUCGGGGUGCUUUAUUAAUGCUUCGGCAGACGUAUAUGUACACUGAUGUCUGCCUGCUCCUCCUCCAUCGCUAGGCUGGUGGGAUGCUAUGUCUCGCGCCUUCCUUCAACUUACUUCGCUGUCUUGUGCACUUCUCACGUUUGUCUCUCUCUCUCACAG
rnacentral:snoRNA from 1 species